CCUUGAUGAUGUAGCUCAGUGG
rnacentral:piRNA from 1 species